GAUGAAGAACGCAGCGAAAUGCGAUAAGUAAUGUGAAUUGCAGAAUUCAGUGAAUCAUCGAAUCUUUGAACGCACAUUGCGCCCGCCAGUAUUCUGGCGAGCAUGCCUGUUCGAGCGUCAUUUCAACCAUCAAGCCCCAGGCUUGUGUUGGAGCCCUGCGGCUGCCGCAGCCUCCCAAAACCAGUGGCGGGCUCGCUAUCACACCGAGUGCAGUAGUUUACUCUUCGCUCAGGGCGUGUGGCGGGUGCUAGCCGUGAAACCCCCAACUUCUCAAGGUUGACUUCGGAUCAGGUAGGAAUACCCGCUGAACUUAAGCAUAUCAAUAAGCGGAGGA
rnacentral:misc_RNA from 1 species